rnacentral:tRNA from 1 species
GGGGCUAUAGCUCAGCUGUGAGAGCGCUUGCAUGGCAUGCAAGAGGUCGACGGUUCGAUCCCGUCUAGCUCCACCA